UUUUUAUUUUUUUUAAAAAAAAUUCUAUCUCUACUACUACUAUAUUCUCCUCUCAAACAAAAAUCUGGAGCCUUAACGCUAACAUGCGCUGGGCUCUAUUUUCCACCGCCGCUGCCACCGCCACCGUCGAUUCGUCGAUCUAGGGUUUCUCUCUUGGUGGGUUUCGGAAAUUUUCUGAUCCAAUUUUAUAAGAACAGAGAAAUCUCUUAGUUCUUGAAAAAUGGGUCUUUUAAGUGCUUUUGCAGCUGGGUUUGUGGUUAUAUUGAUGGUCUUUGAAGGGAUGGCGUCGCCGGAGACUGUUAAUGUGUCGGUUCGCUCAGUUUGUCCAUUGAAAUCUGUUAAAGAUUCGAUUUUUAUGGGGUUUCAAGAUUUGACUUGUCCAUUAGAUGGGAUCCAAUCUUCUUAUGUGGCUGAAGUUAUUCAGGGAGAUGAGCUGUCAUUGCAGAGGGCACUAAGUAUGAUUCACCGGAAUACACAUGAUUAUGUUGCUUUGCUUUUCUAUGCAUCCUGGUGUCCUUUCUCUAGAAGUUUUAGGCCAAAAUUUUCCAUCAUGUCUUCUUUGUAUCCUUCAAUUCCCCAUUUCGCAAUUGAAGAGUCAGCUGUUAAGCCAAGCACUCUCUCAAAGUAUGGAGUUCAUGGGUUUCCGACUCUCUUCCUUUUAAACUCAACAAUGCGCAUGCGGUAUCAUGGCUCUCGCUCCCUUGAUUCAGUGAUUGAAUUCUAUGGUGGCACUACUGGUUUUCAUAGUGCUUCGGUGGAUGCCACUUCUCUUGGCAAAAUGGGAUGCUCCUCAAAUCUUUUGAAACUGCAUGGAAGUGACCAGGAAAACUGUCCAUUCUCCUGGGCCAGAUCUCCUGAGAACCUUUUUCAGCAAGAGACAUAUUUGGCCUUGGCCACUGCAUUUGUGCUAUUGAAAGUACUUUAUAUGAUAUUUCCAGCUUUACGUAAGAUAGCUCAAAUUGGCUUGGGAGGUUGCAUAUUACAAAUAAGAAUAAGAAGCUUGUGGGAGCUUCCUCUGCUAUACCUGAACCGAGCUGUACAAUUAUGUAAUUCGCUGAAGGAGCCAUGCAAAAGAAGCAACUUGCAGGAAGGAGCUAUGAAUGCCAAGGCAUGGGCUUCAAAGUCUUUAGCGUCUGUCUCAUUUGGAGAGUCUAGCGCUAGCCGGGUGGAACCAGUAAGUUCAACUCACUAAUUGCUUUGAUGGCCAUAUCUAUAAUCAUAGUGCUCUUUUAUAAUUGUUUUAGCCAACCAUAAUUGGUGCUGGUAUUAUCCGAUUGGCGCAGCACUAUGCAAUAUCAAGCUUUUGAAACGAUAUGCUUCAAUUUGAUGUAAUGUAGAUUAGAAUUUUUUUCUCACCGUCGGAGAAAUAAUGUACCCACAUUGUAUAUAGGUUUAACUAAUAGGCAGAGCUUUUGAAUUCAGAUCUGUGUUUAUUUAAUUAAAUCAAGACACCGUCUAGUUCCUUUUGUAUGCUAAGCUGUCUUGAGUCACAUCUUUUGUGAAACAAAAUUCAGGUGAAACUCAGAACACAUGUUUUGUGCUUUCUAUUUCUAAACCCUCUGCAUGCAGAAGCACUAAUGAGAAAAAGUGCAGAAGUGAUUAAAUCUGUUCUGAAGAAUUGCUGGGAAACGUUACACAAUCCGGGAAGAGUUCGGUUGGUUCCAAGAAAGGGUGAGCAUGAAAUGCUUUUAACUUUUUAAGUUGUUGAAUUAAACAAAGUUCUGAGGCCUUCCUUCUUCUUGAGGAUUCUCAUUUCCUAUUAUACCAAGUGUUGAAGCUUUUGUAUGUGAUAAUGGUUAUUCUCGGCAUCCAGGCCUCAUGCUUUUUACUCUAGGGUAGUUAAAAAAAUAUUAUGAUGAUGAUGAUGAACACAGAUUGAGCUUAAAUGAAGCAGCGGUAAUUCAUGCA